rnacentral:rRNA from 1 species
UACGUAGGGGGCAAGCGUUGUCCGGAUUUAUUGGGCGUAAAGAGCGUGUAGGCGGCCAAACAGGUCAGCUGUGAAAACUCGAGGCUCAACCUCGAGACGUCGGUUGAAACCGUUUGGCUAGAGUCCGGAAGAGGAGAGUGGAAUUCCCGGUGUAGCGGUGAAAUGCGCAGAUAUCGGGAAGAACACCCGUGGCGAAGGCGGCGACCUGGUCCGUGACUGACGCUGAGGCGCGAAAGCGUGGGGAGCAAACAGG